AUUGAACGCUGGCGGCAGGCCUAACACAUGCAAGUCGAACGAGUGGCGGACGGGUGAGUAAUGUCUGGGAAACUGCCUGAUGGAGGGGGAUAACUACUGGAAACGGUGGCUAAUAGCGCAUACCAUCAGAUGUGCCCAGAUGGGAUUAGCUAGUUGGUGGGGUAAAGGCUCACCAAGGAGAAGAUCCCUAGCUUGUCUGAGAGGAGGACCAGCCACAAUGGAACGGAGACACGUCCCAGACUCCGACGGGAGGCAGCAGUGGGGAAUAUUGCACAAUGGGCGCAAGCCUGAUGCAGCCAUGCCGCGUGUAUGAAGAAGGCCUUCGGGUUGUAAAGUACUUUCAGCGGGGAGGCGUUACCCGCAGAAGAAGCACCGGCUAACUCCGUGCCAGCCGCCGCGGUAAUAC
rnacentral:rRNA from 1 species